rnacentral:lncRNA from 1 species
AAUACAAUUUUUUUUCCUUCAUGUAUCAUAUAUCGAAAUGUUGGUUGGAACUUAUCCUAAAUGUUGUGAAAUGGAUAGGUGGAUGUGGAAGCACGAUAUCCGUGGUGGGUAGUCGGUUAAAUUUGGCUACUCAUGUACCUAUUGGUGGUGAAGAGGAAAGUGUUGGAUUGAAAGCAAUACAUCAAGUCUUGUGUAACGACGUGGCGUCGAAAGUAAGGGUGCUUGCGUGGUGAUUUGUGUGCGACAAGUUACCGGCGAGGGAUGUGUUACUGCAAAGUGGUCUGGUGGAUCCAUCUUUGGAUUCAUGUUGCGUGCUCUGCUUCGGUUUUGAAGAUUAAGGUAUGUCAUUUGGUUGAUCUCGCUGUGGUGUCUCUGGUUGCGUCGUAAUAAGAUCAUAUUUCAUGGUGCAGUAGUAUAUUAUAUUCAGAUACUUAUUUGUCUGAAUCGUCUGAAUUAUUUAUCGUUCAUAUUG